UAAGUUCAUAGUUACUGAUUCACUGCUACCAUUUCAGAUUUAUCUUGGAGUAUUUAUAUACAUAGGGAGUUUGAUUAUUUAUCACCCUAUUGUUUUGUGUAAGAAUCACUAGCAAGCAAACAUGCCCGUGCGUUGCACGGGACGUAUAACUUAUUCUACAUCAACCUAGACGACUAAUGAUAGUGUCAUGCGUUUCAAUUAGUCAUAGAAUUGGAGUUCCCACAGUGUCUGGACACAUUGCUCUUACUUAUACGGGCAAGGGAGUGAGGGAGGGAGGGAAAUAAAAAAAAGAAGAACUGAAUGAAAAGGGAAACGGAAAAUAAAACUGAAACGGAACGGAAGGAAAAAAAAAAUGAAAAAAUAGAUAUGGAAGAAAACAAAUCGAAAAAAUAGACAUGGACGAAGAAAAUAGAAUGGAAAUAAAUGAAACAGAACGAAAAAACACGGACUGAGAAACUCUUCAUGCUUUAACAUUAGGGAAAUAUUUCUUGUAAAUUCUGAGCUUCUUGUCAGCCUACAACAUUUUCCCUUAAUUACUCUGCAGAUCUACCAUGUUCAGUUAACUUCUAAUCUAAUAAGUGUACAUUUUAGCCUUUUUUAGCUUACAAAGUUUGUCACUAUGUCAUUCCAUUAUUAGUUAUUUGAAUAAAACUAAUGUACUGUACAUAUGUUAUUUGUGUCAAGUGUCAUGAUGAAUUUUCUUCAUUUAAUUUUGGUUCGUUCAUGUGAGUAAAUAGGAAAAAAUGCACGAUCAUUUCUAUGGGGUAUCAGGGCAAGUAGAACUGUAGAAAUUACUCUACAUGGUAUCAUCCCUAAUUCCGAUUCUAAUUUUCCGCUUCGCUUCUCCUCCGCCCGUGCGUUCUAUCUGAGAACGCGCGCCACCGCACCAUCGGCCGCGGCGUCCUCCUCGCGCCGCCGCCAGGUCCGCCGUCGCGGACCGUCCUCUUCGCGCCGCCGCCAGGUCCGCCGUCGCGGACCGAUCGCGUGCCUUCCAGGCCCGAUCGCGUGCCCUCCAGGCCGCGCACGGAUCGCGUCUCCGCGGUUCGCACGCGCGGAUCGCGUCCGCCGCCGUCGUCCACGCCGGUUCGCACGCGCGGAUCGCGUCCGCCGCCGUCGUCCACGCCGCGCGGCCUCCAUCCCGCGCGGGUCGCGUCCGCCGCCGUCGUCCACGCCGCGCGGCCUCCAUCCCGCGCGGGUCGUGUCCGCCGCCGUCGUCCCGGAAGCGCGCCCAGGCCCGCCCGCCUUCGUCCGCGCACCGCCGUCCGUCCGUCCUGCGCGGCUCGCGGACCUGCGACUUCGCGCGACACUCCGUCCGUCCGUCCUGCGCGGCUCGCGGACCUGCGACUUCGCGCGACAAUCCGUCACGCGGCUUCUGCGCGCGAUCGUCUUCCAACUACGUCCAUGACGUCGUCGUCGUCGAGUUCCUCCUCCAUCUCCGGAGCCCAGUCGUCUGGCGCCAUGGGGGACUCUGUCACUGCCCCCCUCUUCGCCGCCUACGCCUCCGUCAACGUCAAGCAGCACGUUCCCAUCGCGCUCAGCCUCGAGCGCCCAAACUACUCCAAGUGGAAGGCCUUCUUCACUGCCCUCUGCGGCAAGUACGGUCUGCUCGGCCACAUCGACGGCACAGCGGCCGCGCGCCCGGCUGACCCCCUGUGGUCUCAGCCUGACGCCUGCAUCCGCGGCUGGAUGUACGGCUCCGUCGACGACGCCGUCCUCGACCUCGCCAUGGAACCCGACCAGGAUGCGCGCGCCCUGUGGGUUUCUAUCGAGGCCCUGUUCCAGGCGAACAAGGAGUCCCGCGCCGUCGUCCUCGAGCAGGAGUUCCACAACCUGCUCCAGGGCGAUCUCUCCAUCGACGUCUACGCCCAGCAGAUGAAGCGCACCGCCGAUGCCCUCCGGGAGGUCGGUCACACCGUCUCUCCUGCGCAACUGGUGCUCAACCUUCUGCGUGGCCUUAACCCCCGCUUCGCCAACACCGCUGACAUCAUCUCCAACACAUCGCCGCUUCCCGACUUUAAGGCUGCCACCAACAUGCUUCGCGUCAAGGAACUCCGCCUUGGCACCGAGGGCAAGGCGGCCUCGGCCUCAGCUCUGGCUGCUUCCACCACCUCAGCCUGCCCAUCGCAGUCCUGCCAGUCCACCCCUCCUGCGUCCACCAAUCGUGGGGGCGGUGGCAAGGGCAAGGGUGGCAAGGGCAAGGGCAGCCGUGGUGGCAACGGUGGUGGCAACGGUGGCAGUGGCAGUGGCGGUGGUGGGCGCUACCAGCAGCAAGGUGGCAACGGCGGCGGUGGCCGCAACCAGCAGCAAGGCGGCAACUUCGGCGGGCGUCAGCAAGCCGGCCCCUGGGUGUGCUACAGCCCUUGGGCUGCUCCGUGGCCCCCCCAGCAGCAGCAGCAGUGGGGUGCGCCGCCUGUGCCUCCUCCGCAGGCACACACUGCCUUCGCGCCGCCACAGUUCUCCACUGCCGGCGGUCCCCCGGCGUACGGGCCUCCGGGCAGCUGGGACUCGGCGGGACUGAUUGCCGCCCUCAACCAGAUGGCGGUUCAGGGGUCUCCUCCUUGGGUAAUGGACAGCGGAGCGACAUCCCACAUGUCCUCAAAUGACGGUAUACUUCUCUCCCGUCUCCCAUCACCACCGUCCUCCAUUAUGGUCGGUAAUGGGCAAUCCAUUCCUGUUCUUAGUCGUGGCACUUCUCGUUUACAGCUAGCUGAUCGCUCCUUUCAUCUUGAUAAUGUUCUUGUCGCUCCACAGCUUUCUCGUAAUCUGUUAUCUGUUCGACAGCUUACUCGCGACAAUAACUGUUCUAUUGAGUUUGACGCCUCUGGUUUUUCUGUGAAGGAUCUCCAGACCAAGAUGGUCCUUCUUCGGUGCAAUAGCAACGGGGAUCUCUACACCAUACCACAUCACAUGCCGUCUCGCUGUCAUGUCGCCGUAGUCUCCCCGGAACUUUGGCACUCCCGUCUUGGUCAUCCUGCACCCGCCGUCGUCAGCACCCUACAUAAGCUAUCAGCUAUUCAUUGUAAUAAAGCAGCCCGCCGCAUUUGUCAUGCCUGCCAGCUAGGCAAACACGCUAGGCUGCCCUUUACUAGUUCAGUUUCUAGCACAUCAGUACCUUUUGCACUUGUUCAUUGUGAUGUCUGGACCUCUCCAGUUUCGAGUAUUUCAGGCUAUAAAUAUUAUCUUGUGAUGGUCGAUGAUUAUACACAUUAUUGUUGGAUUUUUCCACUUCGCCACAAAUCUGAAGUUCAUGGUCAUAUUGUUCAGUUUGUUGCUUACGCUCACACACAGUUUAGUCUUCCUGUGCGCUGUUUUCAGGCAGAUAACGGCACCGAGUUCAUCAACACCGCCACUGCUACCUUCCUGGCUAGCCGUGGCACACUCCUCCGCACUUCGUGCCCGCACACAUCUGCUCAAAACGGCAAGGCUGAGCGGAUGCUACGCACCCUGAACAAUGCAGUCCGCACGCUUCUGAUUCACGCUGCGAUGCCUUCUUCCUAUUGGGUUGAAGCUCUCUCCACCGCCGUGUUUUUGAUCAACCGGCGUCCAUCCUCGUCCAUAAAUAACAGUAUACCCUAUCAUCUCCUUUUUCACAAGAUGCCCGAUUACUCAUCACUUCGUGUUUUCGGCUGUUUGUGCUAUCCCAACCUCAGUGCCACGACUCGCCACAAAUUAUCUCCUCGCUCUACGGCGUGUGUCUUUCUCGGUUACCCUCCUUCGCAGAAGGGAUACCGCUGUCUUGACCUUUCCUCCCGCAAGAUUAUUAUCUCGCGACACGUCGUUUUUGAUGAGACUCACUUUCCGUUUGCGGCCUCCAAGCCCCAUCCGGAUUCAUUUGAUUUUCUGUUACAGGAUAUACUUCCAGCGCCUCCUCCGUCCAUCUCGGACGUUAGGCGCACGCCGGCUGUGGAGGACGCCGGCGACCCCAUCAGUUUCGACCCUGCCAUUCUGUGGCAUGGCCGGCUGCCCCAGGUUGCAGCAGGACUUCAGCAGGCUGUCCCAGCCGGCCCUGCAGCACUCCAGCAGGCUGCUUCUGCCCCUGCUGCGGCUGCGGUUCCACCCGGCGCUGCUGCUCCAGCCGCGGCAGCACCACCUGCUGCUGCUGCACCGGCUGCUCCAGGCGCUGCUGCACCAGCGGCCCCUGUGCAGCCCCCCUCUUCGCGUCUACACGCGUCGACCGGCACCGAUCAUGCCUGCCGCGCCUCCUCCGGAGCCGCCGCCGGCGGACGUACCUCCAUCCCGGGCGACCAGAUCCCGGACGGGGUCUUUGCCACCACCUGUUCAGCGCUACGGCUUCGCUGCGACGUCGUCAUCCUCGGCUUCACCGCUGCCCGCCAACUCUCGUGCCGCCCUGGCCGACCCCAAUUGGAGGGCUGCGAUGCAUGAAGAGUACCAGGCGCUCAUGGAUAAUGGCACCUGGCGCCUCGUACCUCGACCACCGCGGGCUAAUGUUAUCACCGGCAAGUGGGUCUUCAAGCACAAGUAUCAUGCUGAUGGCUCCCUCGCCCGUCAUAAAGCCCGGUGGGUCGUUCGUGGUUUCUCGCAGCAGCACGGCAUCGACUACGACGAGACUUUCAGCCCGGUUGUCAAGCCGGCCACCAUCCGCGUCGUCCUCAGCAUCGCCGCCUCCGCUGCGUGGCCCAUUCAUCAGUUGGACGUGAAGAACGCCUUUCUUCAUGGCCACCUGAAUGAGACUGUCUACUGCCAGCAGCCGCCUGGUUUCAUCGACUCGGCUGUUCCAGAUCAUGUCUGCCUCCUGCAAAAGUCCUUGUACGGACUCAAGCAGGCGCCCAGAGCCUGGUACCAGCGGUUCGGCAGCUUCGUCCAGCAGUCUGGCUUCACAGCUUCGACCUCUGACAGCUCUCUCUUUGUAUACAAAGAGGGUGCCGACACCGCCUAUCUGCUGCUCUACGUCGACGACAUCAUCCUGACAGCCUCGUCGCCUGCGCUACUACGGCACAUCACCGAGCUCCUCCACUCUGAGUUCGCCAUGACUGAUCUCGGGGAUCUGCAUCACUUCCUCGGGAUCGCAGUCACGCGGACCACCGGUGGGCUUUUUCUCUCGCAGCGCCAGUACGCUGUGGAACUCCUCCAGCGCGCUGGCAUGGCCGAGUGCCACUCUACAGCGACUCCUGUGGACACUCGGGCCAAGCUCUCCGCUACAGACGGCGCCCCGGUGGCGGAUGCUACUCAGUACCGCAGUCUUGCUGGUGCUUUGCAGUAUCUCACGCUUACUCGCCCGGAUCUUGCCUAUGCUGUCCAGCAGGUGUGUCUCUUCAUGCACGACCCGCGCGAGCCUCAUCUGGCGAUGCUCAAGCGUGUCCUGCGGUAUGUGAAGGGUACGCUGUCCACCGGUCUCCACAUCGGAGUUGGUGGCCUCGACACCUUGACCGCCUACUCCGAUGCUGAUUGGGCAGGUUGUCCGGAUUCUCGGCAUUCCACUUCGGGCUACUGCGUCUUCCUCGGCGACAACUUGGUCUCUUGGUCCUCAAAGCGACAAACUACGGUUUCUCGUUCGAGUGCGGAGGCUGAGUAUCGUGCGGUUGCGCACGCUGUGGCUGAGACUUGUUGGCUUCGUCAGCUGCUUCAGGAGCUUCAUGCACCCAUCUCUUCGGCGACGAUCGUCUACUGUGAUAAUGUUAGUGCUGUCUACAUGACUCAGAAUCCAGUUCAUCAUCGUCGCACGAAGCACAUUGAGAUCGACAUUCACUUCGUCCGUGACAAGGUGGCUUUGGGACAGGUCCGGGUGCUCCAUGUCCCUUCGUCUCAUCAGUUCGCGGACAUUAUGACCAAAGGGUUACCUGUACAGUUGUUUAGUGAUUUUAGGUCCAGUCUUUGUGUUCGUGACACUCCCGCUUAGACUGAGGGAGGGUGUUAGAAUGUAAUAUAACAGCCCAUUGGGCGUGUAUGGCCUAUGGCCCAUGUACAUUGUAACCCUAGCCUAUUAGGCUAUAUAAUGAAGGUCACCCCCCCUAAUUAGGGUGUGCGGUGUUUCUCUACACAGAAUAUUGUACUUUUGAUUGGUACUGAGUACUGACCCACUCAUACAAGUUUAAAGAUGCAAUAUGUAGCUAUCAGUUUAUGUAUAUGAGUGACAAACAUACAAGUUCAGUGAUCACACUUCACUCUUGUUUUUGAGUGCCAAACUAAAUUUCUCUCAUGCAGUAGGUGGUCGAUCUGAAAUGUUUUUACAUGGCCUUGGUGAAUUUCUUCCACAAAUUUUGCCACUCCUUUGUUCUGUAAGUUCAUAGUUACUGAUUCACUGCUACCAUUUCAGAUUUAUCUUGGAGUAUUUAUAUACAUAGGGAGUUUGAUUAUUUAUCACCCUAUUGUUUUGUGUAAGAAUCACUAGCAAGCAAACAUGCCCGUGCGUUGCACGGGACGUAUAACUUAUUCUACAUCAACCUAGACGACUAAUGAUAGUGUCAUGCGUUUCAAUUAGUCAUAGAAUUGGAGUUCCCACAGUGUCUGGACACAUUGCUCUUACUUAUACGGGCAAGGGAGUGAGGGAGGGAGGGAAAUAAAAAAAAGGAGAACUGAAUGAAAAGGGAAACGGAAAAUAAAACUGAAACGGAACGGAAGGAAAAAAAAUGAAAAAAUAGAUAUGGAAGAAAACAAAUCGAAAAAAUAGACAUGGACGAAGAAAAUAGAAUGGAAAUAAAUGAAACAGAACGAAAAAACACGGACUGAGAAACUCUUCAUGCUUUAACAUUAGGGAAAUAUUUCUUGUAAAUUCUGAGCUUCUUGUCAGCCUACAACAUUUUCCCUUAAUUACUCUGCAGAUCUACCAUGUUCAGUUAACUUCUAAUCUAAUAAGUGUACAUUUUAGCCUUUUUUAGCUUACAAAGUUUGUCACUAUGUCAUUCCAUUAUUAGUUAUUUGAAUAAAACUAAUGUACUGUACAUAUGUUAUUUGUGUCAAGUGUCAUGAUGAAUUUUCUUCAUUUAAUUUUGGUUCGUUCAUGUGAGUAAAUAGGAAAAAAUGCACGAUCAUUUCUAUGGGGUAUCAGGGCAAGUAGAACUGUAGAAAUUACUUUUUCUCUACCAAAUUACCAUUGUAGUUAUAGUUAUACUUGAACUGUGCAAGCUCAAAACUGCUCUGUGAAAUAACUCUUUAGGUAUCAUUGAGAUGUCCUAAAAAUAUACUGGUUUUCUACUAGAGCACAUUUUUUUUUCUCGAACACGCAGGAGAGGUGGGUAUCAUUAUAUUAAGAAAAACCC
rnacentral:lncRNA from 1 species